GUGCGGGCUUCGGCCUACACACUCCUCACACCCCCCGGCCCGACGCGUUCGGGCUUU
rfam:Synechococcus sp. CC9311, complete genome.